rnacentral:rRNA from 1 species
GUUAGGGGGCAAGCGUUGUCCGGAUUUAUUGGGCGUAAAGAGCGUGUAGGCGGCUAGAUAGGUCCGUUGUGAAAACUCGAGGCUCAACCUCGAGACGCCGGUGGAAACCAUCUAGCUAGAGUCCGGAAGAGGAGAGUGGAAUUCCUGGUGUAGCGGUGAAAUGCGCAGAUAUCAGGAAGAACACCCGUGGCGAAGGCGGCUCUCUGGUACGUGACUGACGCUGAGACGCGAAAGCGUGGGGAGCGAACAGGAUUAGAUACCCUGGUAGUCCACGCCGUAAACGAUGGGUGCUAGGUGUGGGCGGUGUCGACUCCGUCCGUGCCGAAGCUAACGCAUUAAGCACCCCGCCUGGGGAGUACGGCCGCAAGGCUA